rnacentral:rRNA from 1 species
AGAGUUUGAUCCUGGCUCAGGAUACUGCUGAGCGGCAGGCCUAAUACAUGCAAGUCGAGGGGCAGCAGGGUGUAGCAAUACAUCGCUGGCGACCGGCGCACGGGUGCGUAACACGUAUGCAACCUACCUUUAACUGGGGAAUAGCCCUCCGAAAGGAGGAUUAACACCGCAUAACAUCACGAGACGGCAUCGCCUUGUGAUCAAACCUCCGGGGGUUAAAGAUGGGCAUGCGUCCGAUUAGCUAGUUGGCGGGGUAACGGCCCACCAAGGCGACGAUCGGUAGGGGGUCUGAGAGGAUGAUCCCCCACACUGGUACUGAGACACGGACCAGACUCCUACGGGAGGCAGCAGUAAGGAAUAUUGGACAAUGGUCGCAAGACUGAUCCAGCCAUGCCGCGUGCAGGAUGAACGAUCUAUGAUCUGUAAACUGCUUUUGUUCGGGAAUAAACCCCUUCACGUGUGGAGGGCUGAAUGUACCGAAAGAAUAAGGGUCGGCUAACUUCGUGCCAGCAGCCGCGGUAAGACGAAGGACCCAAGCGUUAUCCGGAUUUAUUGGGUUUAAAGGGUGCGUAGGCGGGUUGUUAAGUCAGUGGUGAAAGCCUAGAGCUUAACUCUAGAAUUGCCAUUGAUACUGACGAUCUUGAGGAUAGUUGAGGUGGGCGGAAUGUAUCAUGUAGCGGUGAAAUGCUUAGAGAUGAUACAGAACACCGAUUGCGAAGGCAGCUCACUAAGCUAUUUCUGACGCUGAGGCACGAAAGCGUGGGGAUCAAACAGGAUUAGAUACCCUGGUAGUCCACGCCCUAAACGAUGAUUACUCGAUGUGUGCGAUAUACUGUACGCGUCUAAGCGAAAGCAUUAAGUAAUCCACCUGGGGAGUACGACCGCAAGGUUGAAACUCAAAGGAAUUGACGG